GUGGGGAAUAUUGGACAAUGGGCGAAAGCCUGAUCCAGCCAUACCGCGUGUGUGAAGAAGGUCUUCGGAUUGUAAAGCACUUUAAGUUGGGAGGAAGGGCAGUAAGUUAAUACCUUGCUGUUUUGACGUUACCGACAGAAUAAGCACCGGCUAACUUCGUGCCAGCAGCCGCGGUAAUACGAAGGGUGCAAGCGUUAAUCGGAAUUACUGGGCGUAAAGCGCGCGUAGGUGGUUUUGUAAGUUGGAGGUGAAAUCCCCGGGCUCAACCUGGGAACUGCCUCCAAAACUGCAUGACUAGAGUACGGUAGAGGGUAGUGGAAUUUCCUGUGUAGCGGUGAAAUGCGUAGAUAUAGGAAGGAACACCAGUGGCGAAGGCGACUACCUGGACUGAUACUGACACUGAGGUGCGAAAGCGUGGGGAGCAAACAGGAUUAGAAACCCGAGUAGUCC
rnacentral:rRNA from 1 species